UACAGAGGCCCCAAGCGUUACUGAGAAUCACUGGGUUUAAAGGGUGCGUAGGUGGCGCGUUAAGUCCGUUGUGAAAUCCCUUGGCUCAACCAAGGAAAUGCUUCGGAUACUGGCGUGCUUGAGGCUAGUAUGGGUCACUGGAACUGACGGUGGAGCGGUGAAAUGCGUAGAUAUCGUCAGGAACGCCAAUGGUGAAGACAGGUGACUGGGCUAGAUCUGACACUGAGGCACGAAGCGUGGGGAGCGAACGGGG
rnacentral:rRNA from 1 species